CCCUGGGAAGGACUUCCCUGGUUCCGUCACUGCUUCCGGCCCCCCAGUUAACAUCACCGGCCCGCUGGGUGAGCACGGCCCUUCUCGUCUGUAGAGGUUCCACCUGCGGCCAGGACCCCACCACCUGCCAACACCGCCUCCGCUGUAGAACCGAGGACACGGGCAAGUGGCGCUGGUCUUUCCACCACAAAGCGUAUAGAGAUGGGACGUGAGCAUGUGGAAGGAUGUCCACACCAUUAGCCGUUGGGAAGUAAUUCCUCGGGGGUUCUCAGCGCACACCUGUCAGAAUGGCUGAAAUAAAAAAUGGGGACAACUGCACAGCGGAGAGGAUGUAGAUGAGUACACCACUCCUAUACGGCUGCCGGGGAUGGAAAAACAGCACAGCCACUCCCGAAAGUAGUUUCGCACACCUUUAAACACUCAGUGUGCCGCUACCACACAACCCAGCCAUGGCAGCCCUGGGCGGUUCUCCCAGCGAAGGAAAGACUGGUGUUCACUUCAAAGCCUGCACGCGAAUGUUUGUAGCAAGAUUCCUUGUAUCACCCAGCAGCUGGGGGACAAAGACCCAGUGGCGCUCCAGGGGGUGAUGACGCAGACGGGGCCACACUGGAGGCACGGAACGCUGCUUAGCCAUGAGGCGGAGCACACAGAUGCGCACACAGCCUGGGCCCAUCUGCACAGAAUUGCUGAGUGAGAUUCUGUUAAAACAGCCCCACCUGGAAAAGGCAAAGUCAACAGGUGAAAGUCAUCUAGUCACUGCCCCGAGGCACCAUCAAAUGCUGUAAGAUGGCGGUUGGUCACUCUGACCUAUAUACACCCUGAGCUGCUAUUCCGUGGGGCGCUCUUCUGAGGAAUGACACCUACUCCAGAGGGGCCGUUCAGCCGAACUACAAUAAACACCCAAUAACCAA